AGCUUUUUUAUGGCAGACAUUUUUUUUGACAUGUCAUUGCUGGAACAGCACAGGUUGAAUUAAUAUCAUUAAUGAUGGCAGCAUUCCAUUUAGGUAUUGAAGUUCUAGAACACAGGUAGUGUGCGUGCUGACUCAGCGGCAUGGCUUAUUGAGAGACUUAAAUGGAACUGAGCCAUCAUUAACAUUAUUGGUUCCACCUGUGCUUUACCUAUGUCAAAGUCAAAAUGUCUGUUGUAAAAAAAGGGGCCAUGAGUACAAAUCAAAACAAUUUCUGAGAUUUUUGGUGCACAUGGAUUGUUUUCUACUCUGCUGCAGAUAAAAGCAAAGGUAGUUUGAAUGGGUCAACACAGUGCCUAAAUCUGUUACAAAAGAUAAGCAGAGAAACAACAAAUGACAACAGACACAAGAGAACAGCUGACUACUGAGGGGAAAGUACAAGCAGAAACAGCCACAGUGAGCUGGUGGAUGAAGAGAUGCAGAUGAUGGGCUUACUGUGGUGUGUGUGAACAAGCACAUCUCCAACACGUCAUCAAGAUAAACAACACCUUUUACCUGCUAUCUUGUGUAAACCACUGGCACUGUGCCAACAUGGCUUGAAUGGUUGCAGAUGCUCAUGGCUCGGUUCAGUGCAAAUAUUCCCACACAUGUAUUGAAAAAUGGUAAAAUGUUGUUGGCAUUUUUUAAACAAUGACCACAUUCUUUCCCUAUUUUUAACCGUACUUUGUCUCUACAUUAACCAUAGUUAAUUUGCCAUUACCACAAGCCUUAACCAAGUUUUAGUUGAUGAACCUUAGCUAAACACAUUGUAGUUGCCAUGUAUGGAUAUUGUAGGAAUAAAUAAUUUGAAUAAAUAAUGAUGUAAUUUGGAA